AAAGAUUGAAAUCUCUAAUCUUUACUUGCCCACAAAUCAAGAAGAAAAAAAAAGCGCACCGGCAAAUAAAUAUUGCCAAUCCCAUACACGAGUUUCUUCCCAAUUUCCAAAAGCUCUGACUUAUGCCAUGUGAGAGACAUGAAGAAAGGCAGCUGCACAACCUUAGAAUGUCUCAAACUUCGGACCCUCACUUUGUGUAAGAGUACGGACACCUAUGUUUUUAAUUUUAAGGAUUAUUUUUGCAGACCCUAUA
rnacentral:lncRNA from 1 species